UCAAACUUGGUCAUUUAGAGGAAGUAAAAGUCGUAACAAGGUUUCCGUAGGUGAACCUGCGGAAGGAUCAUUAUUGAAUUGUUUUCUGGAUGGGUUGUAGCUGGCUCUUCGGGGCAUGUGCACGCCUGUUUGGACUUCAUCUUCAUCCACCUGUGCACCUAUUGUAGUCUUCUAGUUGGGGUGCUGGCGGAGUGGUCAGCCUAUCAGCAACCUGCUGGAUUUGGGGACUUGCAGUGCGAAAGCGUUGCUGUCCUCUCCUUGGCCACCGAGUUGUGCUCUGACUGGAGUCUAUGUUAUUCAUUAUACCCUACUGUAUGUCAUUGAAUGUCUUUACAUGGGCUUUUGGCCUAUGAAAAUUGAAAUACAACUUUCAGCAACGGAUCUCUUGGCUCUCGCAUCAAUGAAGAACGCAGC
rnacentral:misc_RNA from 1 species